UGUUAAGUUGAUCGACGUCGGUGAGCAAACUUAGGAAUGGGUAGGAAUUCAUCAUGUAAAACGGUAAAACCUUAUUUUCUGAAGAUUUCUCAAGCGCCCUCUUCUAUCUUUUGGCUCUCUGAAACCACUUCGAGCAGACUAUUAGCUUUUUAUCUGUUUAAUCCCAGGUGUGAACACCGUUGAGGGGAAGGUAUAAGAGUACUCUGUAAAUGUUAAACACAAGGUUCACUUGAAAGGCGUUUUAACGAGGCGAUGGAUUAGUAAAAGCAAUUGUUAUGCAUUUCUCUUGGACUACUAAGGCACGUCCACGGUAGGCCUUAUUGCUGAAUCAGGAGAACAGGGAUGCAAGGAUUUAUCUAUUUCGAAAUUACAGUCAUUGCCUGGAACCAAAGAAAGAAUGACAUGCUAAAAUCAAUGGUGUAUGCCCUGAUUCGUUGGACCUUCAUUGGUGCAAUACUAGAUGCCAAUUGUUUCAUUAAAAAGCUUAAAGAAGAACAAAGGCAGGAAGCACAAUGCAGUUUUCCAUUCACUGCCUCAAUAAACUGAUCUCAAGGUGGAAAUCCUCGAGCUGAUUUAAGUUUUCAUCUAUAUGAUGACUACCAGUAAUCAGCUGAGAUGAAUUUGAGGCUUGAUCUCCCACUUGGAUACAUGGAUGGAUUAGUGCGAAACCACACGUCGGAUUAUGGAUUAUAAAGCCAGCAAUAAGUUCCUUUCUGUCGGACUUCAAAAACAAUACCUCACCUUCCAUGCAGGCCCUUUAAGUAUUGUUGUAAGGCGUAAGCAUCUCUCCUCAUCUAAAUCAUACAUCUCAGUCUAGCCACUCCAAAAGAAAACAUAUUUCGAGGUGAAGAUCCUUUUUAGGUCUUUUUGAGGUGCUGCUGCGUUGCUGUCUCUACUCUUAUAAGGCGGUGCUGCUGCUGUAGCUGUUGUUGCACCUGUAGCUGAGGAGAAGUUGAGACAUCUGCCCAGACAACUGAGAAAUGCAUCAUUAAGGAUCAGGAUACAAGCAUACCAGUAACCAGCAGUGCAUCAAAAAAGUGGAAUGGAGAUUGGGAUUGUGUAUACCAAGCGAAAUCAGAAAUAGCGAUUUCAUUUGAGAUAACUUGAAUGUACUAUAUUGGGAUGACGAGUUUGAUAUCGUACAGAAAUUUUGUGAAGUACCAUGAAUCACAGUUGUCGAUACCGCCAGCUACCAAUACAUGUACUUGGAACUUGCAAAAACAACAAUUUUCAGGAAUAUCGAGCAGUAUCCUGGUGCCUCCGAAGGUGCAUUCUGAUUGUGAGAUAUCAUGUGUUCAACGAUGUGCUGGAUGUUAUUACCCUGACACGAAAAGAUGAAGUAGAUGAAAUUUCACAAAGAAUGGUCGCGAUGUUGUUGGAUUUGAUGGAUGGAUUUUGCAGAACCGAAUGUGUUUUUAAUUACAAUUGCAUUAUGGCGCAAAGAAUUGCUGGUGGGUAGAAUACUUGCAUUGCAUCCAAUUCCAGUUAUAAGUAUGUUACGCAAAAGAAAUAAGGACAACACUGUGAUCUAUGAGCCAAACCACACUUUUGGACAUAUAAAGUCUUAUGAUUGAUGUAGCAAUGAAGGUCCCAAUGAAGCUGAAACUGCUUCAGUGGUCGUCAUCCCUGAGAAUUUCAUUGAAUGGUGCAGUACUUCUAAAAAGACAUGGUGUUUCUAUUGGUGAUAGCAAAAGCUAUCGGACGUCAUCGUUGAACUGGGAGUUCCAUCCAGCGGUCGGGGCCUCUUGAUGGAGUUUUCACCAUCCGAGGCUCUGGAAAUUUUGGAUAAUCUUAAGUUGAAUGAAAUUGGGGAUGGAGGGGGGAAUUCGUCAUGUUAAACUUUAGGAAAUUCCGAAGAUUUCUCAAGCACCCUCUUUUCUCUCUUUUGCCUCUCUCAAACCACUUCGAGUAAAAUACUUAGUUUUUUGUCUAUUUGAUCCGUAGGUAUAACAUCGUUAAGGGGUAAGUGAUGUAGUGCUUCAAAGAGGUCUGAAUCUCGAAAUAAUUGCAGCAACAAAUCCUUAGAAUAUUAGAGAAAACAUAUAAUUGUAUCAAUACCUAAUCUUUUCAAUUUCUUAUAUGAUAU